CCAAUAGCGUAUAUUAAAGUUGUUGCAGUUAAAAAGCUCGUAGUUGAAUUUUGGGUCUGGCCGGGCGGUCCGCCCUCCGGGUGAGCACUGUUCCGACGCCGGGCCUAUCCUUCUGGAGAGUCGGCAUGUCCUUUGUUGGGUGUGCCGGGGAACCAGGACCAUUACCUUGAAAAAAUUAGAGUGUUCAAAGCAGGCGUAUGCUCGGAUACAUUAGCAUGGAAUAAUGAAAUAGGACGCGUGGUGCUAUUUUGUUGGUUUCUAGAACCGCCGUAAUGAUUAAUAGGGAUAGUUGGGGGCAUUAGUAUUCAAUUGUCAGAGGUGAAAUUCUUGGAUUUAUUGAAGACUAACUUCUGCGAAAGCAUUUGCCAAGGAUGUUUUCAUUAAUCAAGAACGAAAGUUAGGGGAUCGAAGACGAUCAGAUACCGUCGUAGUCUUAACCAUAAACUAUGCCGACUAGGAAUCGGGCGAUGUUAUUCUCAUGACUCGCCCGGCGCCUUAUG
rnacentral:rRNA from 1 species